rnacentral:rRNA from 1 species
ACGGGUGAGUAACGCGUAGGAAUCUGCCUGAUAGUGGGGGAUAGCCCGAAGAAAUUCGGAUUAAUACCGCAUAAUCUAUUCGUAGUAAAGUGGGGGACUUUCGAGCCUCACGCUAUCAGAUGAGCCUGCGUAAGAUUAGCUUGUUGGUAGGGUAAAAGCCUACCAAGGCGACGAUCUUUAGCUGGUCUGAGAGGAUGAUCAGCCACAUCGGGACUGAGACACGGCCCGAACUCCUACGGGAGGCAGCAGUGGGGAAUAUUGGACAAUGGGGGCAACCCUGAUCCAGCAAUACCGCGUGUGUGAAGAAGGCCUGAGGGUUGUAAAGCACUUUCAAUUGUGAAGAAAAGUUAGCGGUUAAUAACCGUUAGCCUUGACGUUAACUUUAGAAGAAGCACCGGCUAACUCCGUGCCAGCAGCCGCGGUAAUACGGAGGGUGCAAGCGUUAAUCGGAAUUACUGGGCGUAAAGCGUGCGUAGGCGGUUUAUUAAGUCAGAUGUGAAAGCCCCGGGCUUAACCUGGGAACUGCAUUUGAAACUGGUCAACUAGAGUAUGGUAGAGGAAAGUGGAAUUUCUGGUGUAGCGGUGAAAUGCGUAGAUAUCAGAAGGAACAUCAAUGGCGAAGGCAGCUUUCUGGACCAAUACUGACGCUGAGGUACGAAAGCGUGGGUAGCAAACAGGAUUAGAUACCCUGGUAGUCCACGCCGUAAACGAUGAUAACUAGCCGUUGGGGGGAUUUACCCUUUAGUGGCGAAGCUAACGCGUUAAGUUAUCCGCCUGGGGAGUACGGCCGCAAGGUUAAAACUCAAAGGAAUUGACGGGGACCCGCACAAGCGGUGGAGCAUGUGGUUUAAUUCGAUGAUACGCGAGGAGCCUUACCAGGGCUUAAAUGCAGGCUGCAUGGGGUAGAGAUACCCCUUUCUUCGGACCGCCUGCAAGGUGCUGCAUGGUUGUCGUCAGCUCGUGCCGUGAGGUGUCAGGUUAAGUCCUAUAACGAGCGCAACCCCUACCGUUAGUUGCCAGCAUGUCAAGAUGGGGACUCUAACGGGACUGCCGGUGCAAACCGUGAGGAAGGUGGGGACGACGUCAAAUCAUCACGGCCCUUACGUCCUGGGCUACACACGUGCUACAAUGGCCGGUACAGAGGGAAGCCACCCCGCAAGGGGGCGCGGAUCUACAAAACCGGUCACAGUUCGGAUCGGGGUCUGCAACUCGACUCCGUGAAGUCGGAAUCGCUAGUAAUCGUGGAUCAGAAUGCCACGGUGAAUACGUUCCCGGGCCUUGUACACACCGCCCGUCACACCAUGGGAGUGGGCUGCACCAGAAGUGGUUAGUUUAACCUUCGGGAGAACGAUCACCACGGUGUGGUUCAUGACUGGGGUGAAGUCGUAACAAGGUAACC